rnacentral:rRNA from 1 species
CUACGUGCCAGCAGCCGCGGUAAUACGGAAGGUCCAGGCGUUAUCCGGAUUUAUUGGGUUUAAAGGGAGCGUAGGCCGCAGGUUAAGUGUGUUGUGAAAAGCAGUCGCCCAACGUCUGCCUUGCAGCGCAAACUGUCCUGCUUGAGUGCGCACAACGCAGGCGGAAUUCGUCGUGUAGCGGUGAAAUGCUUAGAUAUGACGAAGAACUCCGAUUGCGAAGGCAGCUUGCGGGAGCGCAACUGACGCUGAAGCUCGAAAGUGCGGGUAUCGAACAGGAUUAGAUACCCUGGUAGUCCGCACAGUAAACGAUGGAUGCCCGUUGUUAGUUCACUUAUGAAUUAGCGACCAAGCGAAAGCAUUAAGCAUCCCACCUGGGGAGUACGCCGGCAACGGUGAAACUCAAAGGAAUUGACGGGGGCCCGCACAAGCGGAGGAACAUGUGGUUUAAUUCGAUGAUACGCGAGGAACCUUACCCGGGCUUGAAUUGCAGACGAACGAUUCAGAGAUGAUGAGG